CUGAAGUUAGCAAGGCUCGCAUCCAGCUCAUGCAACCAAUUAUUAAAGGCUCUGCCGGAGUGGAAUACCUGCAGAAGGCUUUCACGGAUCGCUAUGGACCUCCUGCUAAUGCAUCAGUGUCUCUCCCUAUAACUAAGCAGUGGGUUUCGGCAACGAAGAGCAUCGUGGAACAAGAGUGGAGCUCACAUUUGGAGUCUCUCCAAGCUUUGCCAGCAGAUCAUGUAGGUUUCUACGAUCAAAACAAUUUACAGUUGUAUUAGCUUAGGCAGCAGUCUAAGUUUUUCUCUGACUGACACGAAUUUAUCCCUUAUUGACAGGCUCAGCACGUUGUUCCGGUACUUCGAGCUGGUCACGGUGCUCCAGCGCCGCAGGCUUCUUCGUCUGCAGCUAGCAGUUCUGGUCUCCCAGAAUGCAAGGGUGAGAAGAUCGACAAGCUGACAAGGGUUGGCUUGUUGCAACUUAUCAGCAAUGUGGAGGGCCUGAACAUGCAGUCAACCCCUGAGACCUUCCAAAUUAAUCUGCUGAGGUUGAGGGCUGUGCAAGAUCAGUUUCAGAAGGUGAUAGUGAUCGCGACGAGGUAAAUAAAUAUCAUCCCCCCCCCAACCCCCAAUACUUUGAACUAAACCGGUCAUUCAGAACAAUUGAUUUCUACGAUAACUGAAAUCAAUUUACCAUGUCUGUCUGUUCCAGCAUGCUUGUCCUGCAUCAAGUUCUGAUGUUGAAGAUCGCUCCUCCGGAGCUACAGAAUACCAUCUCAGAGCUCUACGACGCUCUCGUGAAGCUCCUCGACAACAACGCUGACGCAUCAACGAAGGAGAUCGUGGAGGCGAUGACGCGCUCUCUGGCCUCGGUCGGCUCUCUGCCGGAGGAACAGAUUCAGGACACGACAGAGCUAGCAACCAAGAUGCUUCUCAAGAGCCUCCAGGCCGGCGACAUCGUCUUCGGUAAGGUGUCCCGGGCGGUCUACUUUGCCUUCCGCGGCGUCGUCCUCGGUGGCGGCGCCAAGGGCAAGAAGCUAGCCGAAGCGCCGCUGCGACGCCUCGGCGCGGCGAAGCUCGCCGACAGGGUUGUCAAGGCCGGGGAGGUGCUGAUAAAGAUGGCAGUCAUAUCAGAGAAGGUCCAUGGACAAUGGUACAAGGCGCUUGCCUUGUGAAGAGCAGAAUAGGGUUUGUGUUGUUUUGUGAAUAUACAUUACGGAUUACGGACUGUAAAUUCUUGUCCUACCGGGGUGAGGUAGGAAAUAUUGGGCAUUGUACAUAAAUUUAUAUAGGUGUUAAUUGGUAGGCUGAUUUCAGUGUCAAAAAUUAAUUCUGGGUGCAGGGCUAAUAUGGAUGACCCUCACCCCAGAAUUUAGCCAGUGGUUAGAUGUGCUGAAUUGCACCUGGGUGUAAGUUAAAUCUGAUGUAAUCUAUUUGCUCUUGGAACUGAAAUAAUGUGAAUAUUUUAAUUUAAAUAUUGUGAUGUAAAUAUUUCGAUCGGUUGUGCAGUGGGGUGAUUGAAAUUUGGUUGGCAUUCACCAGAAAUCCUCCUUUUUUGUUCUUAAGAUCGUAUAGGUGUGAUUAACUUCUUACAGAAAUAUAACUUUUACAGUAUAUUAUACUAUGAGUAUAUACUUACAUUAUAUAGAAGGGUAUGUUAGGAAUUUGACAGAAAGUGGAAAAGAGCUUUCUACGUUUAGAAUUAAUCCAAUCCAAUAAAUAAGAUUCAGUUCGUGCGCUCGCGAAAGACGACGGCACGCUAGGCGGCGGUGUGAUUCGUCCCCGGCGUCAUUCCUGUGCUCGCGAGCGACGGUGGUGCGCUAGGCAGCAGUGCGACUCAUUCUCUUGGCUGUCAUUCGGCCUUACUCCAUGUGUUUCCAUAUGUUCUCUUGAAACUUGUGUAAUUGUUCAUGCAGUUGAGCACAUGAAGGAUGUUUAGAAUAUAAUUAAAGAUGGCACAAUUUUCAUAUCUUCCCUUACAAGAAAAGGCAGUACACUUAUAACAAUUCGAAUGUGCUUAUCUUGUAAUAUUGCUAGUAUUUGCUUGUGAAGUGCUGAAGAUUUUAUAGUACUGCUUUCAGUACCAUGGAAUUGUUUGGUUUUAUUGUACUGAAAAUUCAGUUUAUCAUCUUUGCUUCUUAGGUAUCACAUUCACCAAGUUCAGAAAUCAUGCAUAUCAAAAAGAAGGUUCAGAAGUAUCUUCAAAUAUGCAGUCCUGAAGCAAAUGAAGAAAACAAGUGUGUUUUUUUUUCACUUUUGGGAACACAAGCCAAAAGAGCAAAUAGCUGAACUGUUCCGGCAUGAGCAUCCGCCAUCCGGUCAUGAUGCCUUUUCACUUAGGCUCCCAUCGGAUGGCCUAGAUAAACCAAAAAAAACCAAAUUUUAAAUUUUCAAACUUAAUUUUGAGAACGAUUUUGAGAUAUUUUCAACGUAGUUUUUUUUUUCAGCAUUGGCUUUUAAGUCACCAAGAACACAUAUAUAAAAAUUUUAUUUACAAAUUCAUUUUUAUUCCCUAAUAAGCCGUUUUGGCGUAUUAGAAAAAAAGCGAAACGAUGACGCCCUUAAAUUCUUCCGUCUCGAGAGGGAGAAACCUCAUUAAGUACCCAGCCUGGUUGUGGCGUUGUGCUACUUGGCCGUAGUCAUACGAGAGUCGAAUCAGCAAUCAGAUACGAUCAUACGAGGCCGUUGUCGCCGCGGGGUGGAAGACAAAAUCUGCCAUUGAGUACACGACCCUCUGCAUGCAUGCUGCUGAUCUUCCUCCUUGAGCGCCGUCGCGUCCGCCGUGGCUGCUCCUCCUCUAGAUAGCGCAUGCCUUGGGUUUUUUGGUGGAUGGGAAGGCAAGAAGAGGAGGAGAGGAGAGCGAAUCGAUUCCCGUUGGCGGCGGCGCGGUGUGGUUGCGGUCGCCGGCAGUGGUGGCACGGCGCGCGUGGAUUCGCUCGUCGCCCGUAGUGAAGAAGAAGGAGUGGGGAGGGCCGAACGACAAUUUUCUUUUGUCGAGCGGUAAGAAAAUACGUCCACGGGAUAACAUGCAAAGUCGAAUUUACCCUUUAAAAUUUUAUAGUACAAUCUAAUUCAAUGAAAUAUCAAAUCAAUCUAUACCGUUAGAUCGGUUAUACUUGUAGUAUAUACUGUUAGUAUAUCUAUCUUCUAUCUAUCUAUCUAUCUAUCUAUUAUAUACUAAAAGUCCAUUAAACUCCCUAAAAACGCUUUCAAACCGCCACAUGUCAUCCUAUAAACGCUCAUAAGUCGCCACAUGACAUUCUAAUAAAUAAUAGAAAUUCCUAGAAAUUCUAAGAAAAAAACAAAACAUCUGUCCAUCUGUUUUCAUUAAAAUCGGUGGACCCAUUAUUUCAAGCCGUCAGAUUUAUCUAAAAAAAAAAUCUUUCCACCUCCACCUCCUUCCUCCCACACGUAACAUCACUUUCCCUUGUAUAUGUAGUCACGUAUAAAUAUACAACAAUUGAUUUACACAUGUACAGGUGUAGAAUAGAUUAGAUCAAAUCAUAUUAAAGUAAUUAAUCCCUCUCUUCUAAUCUCAUGUGUAUUUGUGAGAGAGAAAAAUAAAUCUAUACUAUUCAUCCGGAGAAAAUAUAUGUAUGUAUAUAUGCAUGUACAUGAGAUUAUUAUUUGGAAAAAAAAAGAAAACAUGCAUAUGUCCGUACAUAAAAAACACCAUAUCUUCCUACAAAUACUCCUAAACCACCACGUGUACUCGUAAAAACACUCCUAAACCGUCAUGUGGCAUUCUAAUUAACCGGUGGACCCACUAUUUAGAUUUUUAGCUAUUAGAUUUAAAGUUAUAUAGUGGACCUAAUAUUAUACGUCAUUAGAUCUAUUUUUUUUAAAAAAGAAAAUAGCAUCGAUCCCCUCCCGUCCCGCUUAAGUACAUUUCCAUUUACGUGAACUCCAUCUGUGUACGCCUUCCCCUCUGUUCAUUCUCUCUCCUAUUUUCAUGAUUUUCAUGCUAUUUUAGUUAGAUGGAAAUCACAAUUUAUAAUAAUAUUUUUUUAAAAAAAUAAAACUAAAUCACCGUCCUAUAAAACUAAAUCACCGUCCUAUACACUUUUGUAGAAACAGACGUACGCCUCCUCCUUCGUGUUCCAAGGCCGGUGUCCACCCUCCUUUUUUUAUAUAUUAUUUAAAUUCAAACUAGACCUUAUUAUUAUAUCAAAUAUAUUUUUAAACCUUUUGAUUAACAAAAUGCACUAAAAUUAGAAUAAUUUAAGUAGUUUAAUUAGAAAAUACAACACCCAAAGUAUUUUAAAUUAGAUCUAAUAUUAAAUGUAUUUAUAAAAAUAGAUAACUCUAAAUUAUAGUGCACAUUCGAUCUAUUUUAAAAACAUCUAAUCUCCUCCCAUCAUCCUGUCUUUCGUAAUGCCACUCUCCUCCCACUCUGCCUCUCGCAUCCUCUCCUCUCCAAUGCAAUUAUCGCCUCUUCUAUAUUUUUCUAACUAACAUAAUAUAAAAAUAGUCAUAACUAUUAUUUUAUUUAUAAUUAAACAUUCAUUAGCUAUAUUUUGCUAUAUAAAAGUUAAAAUAUAUCAUUUGAAGGUAGACCCUACCGUUUGCAUGAACACUAAAUAAACACGAAAAUUAAUUGAAAAUAUGUAUCGUGUUAUACUAAAUCAUUGUACACAAUCAAAAUCAAUUAAAUGCCCUCCGGAGUGUUCGUAAGUCACCAACUACAUAAUUAAAACAACCAAAAGCUACAUAUAUGGAAUACUCCUAUGCUUUUUAAAUCCGUGAAACCAUUAUUUCUAACCAUUAGAUCUAUCUUAUAUAUAUAAAAAAACAAGUGUGUAUUCAUGGUACAUCAUAUUUUAAAAAUAUUACUGCGUAAUUAUAUUUCGUCGUUAUCGUAUUCAUGUUAGAUUGCGUGGAGCCUCUCACUCACUCUAUAUGAAAUGAAUGUUCAGAUGGAUCAUCUCUCAAACUACAUUAAUCAUUUUAGACUAUAUAAACCCAUAUAUUUACUGGAGCUUCAUGUCCCACCCAAUUCAUCCUUUAGUAAACUAUGAUAAUAUAUACGCAACUAAAAAAAGAAAACCAACUUACUUUUACUGACAUGUUUUCUGAAGAAAAUAAGUCUACCUUCUUUUCAAAUAAUGAAGAAUAUUAUAAAUAAUUGCUUAUAGAUAUUACUUAAAUAUGAUUAACAUAAAGCUAAUAGGUUAUAAACUUAUAAAAGCAAUUAAUGCCAUGAAAACAAUUUAUAGAGAAAUCAUGGGAGGUGUUCUCCGGUUAAUAUUUCACUUUUAUAAGUAUCUUAAACUUAACGUACGACAUAUGCCCAUGCAUUCGUGCGGGCUACCUUUCUAGCUAUACUUUAAAAGUUCUCUAUAUCUAUCGCUACUACUAUUUACAAAGUAGUAUAAAAGUGCUGAUAUUGUUCAUUCUUGGAUAUACUACUAGGCACCGUACAAUACUAUAUGGAAAGCAAACAAGUAUAUAAACUACUAGGCAGUAGCACAAAUUUUGACAAUUUGACCCUUUGCAAAAAAUAAUUAUACAAAUGAACCGUAGCCAAAACUUAUUUCAAAAUUACCCUUUUGUUCAACGCCAAAUCUCAUGACGCUGAACUUAGACAACUCAGCGCCACGUCAACUGGCGCUGAAUGUCGUGCCAUCGUGGAUGGGAGUAUGAGUCGGCGUGCCAACCUGCAUUCAGCGCCAUGCUAUUUGACGCUGAGGUGUUUGAACAAAAGGGUCGUUUUUAAAAUAAGUUUUGACCACGGUUCAUUUGUAUAAUUAGUUUUUGCAAAGAGUCAAAUUGUCAAAAUUUGUGAGGCAAUAGUGUACAUACUACUUCCUCCGUCCCAAAAUGAAGCCAUUUUUUAGGUUGGCAUGGGUAUUAAGAAAGUAGGUGAGAAUAAUUAGAGGAAGUGUGUGAUUGGUUGAAAAGAGAAAGUAGGUGAAGAAGAAUGGUUGCGAUUGGUUGAGAGGAGGAGGUAGGUGAAGAAAUAGCUUUAUUUUGGGACAAGAUACUGUGCUAGAAAUAGCUAUAUUUUAGGACGGAGGGAGUAUAAAACAAAAAGUUUGUACUUGUGUGCCGAGAAAAAAAAAUACAUAUACUAGUAACGUGCUUCCUCAACCAUAUCAAAAAAUUUGAACCUGCGUAUGUAACGGCCGGAGUGCAUGCACGCAGAAAUUAAAAAAAAAAAGAAGGGAACAGUAAUUUAUUUUUCUCUUUUAAUCUAACUAUUCAUAAUCAACUAAUGGAUAUCCAAUGAGAAGAGGGAGUACAUACACUGUAUAUAAAAAAUAUAGAUAUAUUUAAUUUUUUAUAUGUAUACAUUUUUAGUGAAUAAAAAAUAUAUACACGUAUAUAAACUUUGUAAACGUACAUAUACAAACUUUACAUAUGUAUUAAAAACCAAUAAAAAAACUACAAACUAUGUAAAUGUGUGAGAUACUACGUACCUAUACAAUCUUUGUAGAUGCACAUAUUAAAAAAUAGUAAAAAAGGAGAGAAAAAACCCAAAAAAAAGCGUACGUACACACGUAUUAAAAAACCGAAAAAAGAGAAAAAAAAUACCGAGAGGAAACCGAGAAAAGAAAAAAAAACCCGGAAAAAUAGGGCCUCCCCGCGUCCUCCAUCUCCGUCUCGGACCCCCCUCCUCGCCGUCCGAUCCGCCUUGGGAUUCCCAAUCCGUUUCCGAAUACUCCCCCCACACCCGCUGUGUAUAUAUUGCCACCUCAAACGACAGAGGAAAGCGUAACACAACAAACCCAACUUCUUCUCUCUCGAGGGAGAGAGAGAAAAACCAAGAAGAAGUCGAGGAGAGGAGAGGAACAGUAAAGCAGCGAAGGAAGCGAGUUUGCUUGCGCGCGCGCGAGAUUCGUCGCCACCAUCGUCGUCUCGUCGAUCGGCGCGCGAGGGAGGGAGAGAUGGCGGUGGCGGCGAUGGAGCUACCGGCGGUCCGAGCCUACGACGCCCUGGGGAUCAACGAGACGUCCGUCAAAUCCAUGCCGUUCGAAAACCUGGCCACGCUGAUGCAGUCUCCGGCGACGCUCCAGGCCACCAAGGCGGUGCUCGACCGGUUCGAGAAACUCUUGCCUCUUCUUUCAUCGCCGGUCAUAAACAUCGAUCACCUCCUGAAACACCUUGGAUCUCCAAAGAAGAAGAAGACACCACCACCUGCUGCUGCUGCUAGCGCGUCUCGAUACUCGCUGAGGGUAGUCCUCUGCUCCUACAUGAUCCUGGCUCAUCCGGGUGCAGUGUUGAGUGGACAAGGGGAGAAGGAGAAGCUACUUAUGGAUUCAGCAGGAAGCUUUGUCAAGGAGUUUGAGCUAUUGGUUAAGACUGUGCUUGAGAAGCAAUCGACUGAUGCUGCUGCCGGUCAGAAAAUGUUCAGUGCUCAGCUGGCCGAUUUCGAUAGAGCAUGGUGCGCUUACCUCUACUGCUUUGUGGUGUGGAAACUGAAGGAUGCGAAAUCGCUGGAGGACGAUCUUGUCCGGGCUGCGUGCAAGCUUGAGCUGUCGAUGAUGCAGACGUGCAAGCUAAGUUCAGAUGGGCAGUCACAUAAUGGCCUCUCUCAUGAUAUGAAGGCGAUUCAGAAACAGGUUGCUGAUGAUCAGAAGCUGUUACGAGAGAAGGUUCAUCAACUGAGUGGCGAUGCAGGCAUCGAGCGGAUGAACUCUGCUCUUUCGGACACAAGGUCAAAGUUCUUUGAGGCGAAGGAGAACGGAAACCCAUUAGCUGCAUCAGUUGCAAACGUAUCUACUCCUUUGAGCAUUGGUUCGUCUGGAUCGAGCUUCACUGCCCAAUCUUUGCCUGGAGCUGCUUCAUCGCCAAGCAGUUCAUCUCUGAUGAAACAGCCGACGGACAAUGAGCAAAUGCUCAAUGAGAUGCUUCACGAGGACGAUGUUUCUUUUGGUGGCAACUCUGAUAACGUCAGUUCCGCGGAGAAGGAGUUUCAGGCCAAAGUGAAAUCGACGAUGGAGAAAGCGUUUUGGGAUCUGGUUACUGAUUCGAUGAAAGGGGACAAACCAGAUUAUACCCAACUAAUUAACCUCGUGAAGGAAGUCAGGGAUUCAUUACAUGAGUUGGCUUCCAAGGAGUUGAAGGAGGAAAUCCUCGAGAACAUUGACCUCGAAAUUUUGUCACAGGUAAGGAAUCGGUGGUCUUGACAAAAUAAAAUAGUUAGUAUUAAUUUGCUUUUGUUAAACCCAGUAUAUUUUGAAUUAAUGUUGUUAUUUUUUUUUUGGAUGAAAGGUGCUCGAGUCAGGCUCCCAGGACACGCGAUAUCUGGGGCAGAUUAUGCACUACUCCCUGGAUAUGAUCAGGAAACUAUCUGCCCCUGCAAAGGAAGAUGACAUGAAGAGGAGUCAUGAGAAAUUAUUGAACGAGUUGGCUGCAAGUUCCGAAGUUAAUGACAAUGGCAUCAGCUCCUUUGUCAUUGCUGUCAUCAAGGGCCUGCGUUUCACUCUCGAAGAAAUAAAGGUUUGUUCAAUGUUAACACCUUGACUUAGUCCUGACAUAGAUUGCACUUACUUUGCGCCGUGUUUUCCUAACAUUUUUUCUGUGAUUUAACAGCAACUGCAAUCUGAAGUUAGCAAGGCUCGCAUCCAGCUCAUGCAACCAAUCAUAAAAGGCUCUGCCGGAGUGGAGUACCUGCAGAAGGCUUUCGCGGAUCGCUAUGGACCUCCUGCUAAUGCAUCAGCGUCUCUCCCUAUAACUAAGCAGUGGGUUUCGGCAACGAAGAGCAUCGUGGAACAAGAGUGGAGCUCACAUUUGGAGUCUCU
rnacentral:lncRNA from 1 species